AUGGACCAGGAAGGGCAUGCUGCAGAGAGGCCUCCAUCCAUAUUUGGUUGCAAGCCAAAAUUAAGAGGCAGCCGCUGGGAUAUCCCUCCUGGAGGUGGAUCGUCAAGUUUCCAAGCCAAUAUUCAAGGGAGUCACCGCGUUUGGAUCCAUGGACUGCACUCUACUUCUACUCGGGCAUCAUAUGACCAUUUGAGGCUUCGAUCGCCUUCGCCAUCUCUUAGUGUAGCUGCGUUUGAUCACCAUAUCCAGGUGGGUAUGGGUGAUGAUCGUUCUGGCAAUCUUUCCGGAGUCGCAACUCCAGUUCAAGAUCAAGAUGAUCCUACUACUGUUCGAGGUGCUAACAGAAUGGAUAUUGAGGAAGUUCAAUUGGGAGAGUCUAUGGACUAUGACUAG
rnacentral:rRNA from 1 species